UGAAGUAAGUAAGGGCGUACGGUGAAUGCCUUGGUGCCAACAGGCGAAGAAGGACGCGGCAAGCUGCGAAAAACCUCGGGAAGCUGCAAGCAAGCGAUGAUCCGGGGGUGUCCGAAUGGGGUAACCUGACUGGGGUAAUACCUAGUCGUUCAUACCUGAAUACAUAGGGUAUGAAACGCAAUACCCGCUGAAGUGAAACAUCUCAGUAAGCGGAGGAAAAGAAAGAGAAAUCGAUUCCGUAAGUAGUGGCGAGCGAAAGCGGAUGGAGCCCAAACCGAAGGUACUCCUUCGGGGUUGUAGGACCACGACAUAUUCGACCAUAGUGGAUAGUAGAACAGUCUGGAAAGGCUGGCCAUAGAAGGUGAAAGCCCUGUAGACGAAAUCCAGAGUGGGAAUUAGUGGUAUCCUGAGUAAUACAUCACACGUGGAACGAUGUAUGAAUCAGCGCGGACCACCGCGCAAGGCUAAAUACUAGUUGGCGACCGAUAGUGAACAAGUACCGCGAGGGAAAGGUGAAAAGAACCGCUGUGAGCGGAGUGAAAUAGAACCUGAAACCGUAUGUCUACAAAGUGUCAGAGCAGAGCGAUCUGCGAUGGCGUGCCUUUUGUUUAAUGAGUCUGCGAGUCAGUGUUUGUGGCAAGACUAAGGGCUUCCGGCCCGGAGUCGCAGCGAAAGCAAGUCCGAAUAGGGCGAAUUAAGUCGCAGGUACUGGACCCGAAGCGGAGGUGACCUACCCUUGGCCAGGUUGAAGCAUGGGUAAAACCAUGUGGAGGACCGAACAGGUGAACGUUGAAAAGUUCUCUGAUGAGCUGAGGGUAGGAGUGAAAGGCUAAUCAAACCCCGUGAUAGCUGGUUCUCUUCGAAAUGCAUUUAGGUGCAGCGUCACGUGCUGAUGCGCGGGGGUAGAGCACUGACAAGGCUAGGGGGCACACCCGCUUACCAAACCUUAUCAAACUCCGAAUACCGUGCAAUGGAACGUGGCAGUGAGACAGUGGGGGAUAAGCUUCAUUGUCGAGAGGGAAACAACCCAGACCAGCAGCUAAGGUGCCUAAAUAACGCUGAGUGGAAAGGAUGUGGGAUUACACAGACAGUGAGGAUGUUGGCUUAGAAGCAGCCACCAUUUAAAAAAUGCGUAAUAGCUUACUCAUCGAGUGAUCCUGCGCCGAAAAUGAUUGGCGAUCAAGCGUUAUACCGAAGCUCUGGACUUUGCCGCAAGGCAGAGUGGUAGAAGAGCGUUGCAUGCGCAUUGAAGGGUGAUGGCGACUGACCCUGGAGCGCAUGCAAGUGAGUAUGCAGACAUGAGUAACGUAAAGCCGGGUGAAAUCCCCGGCCGCCGUAAACCCGAGGUUUCCAGGGCAACGUGUUUCGUCCCUGGGUUAGCCGGGACCUAAGCCGAGGCCGAGAGGCGUAGGCGAUGGAUAUCAGGUUAAUAAUCCUGAGCUCGCGACCCUUAAACUGGGGGGACGCAUGAGAAGAGAUGACCAGGUUAUUGAAUUCCGAGCUGGGUCCACGGAUCCAGCGCAUCAUCAAAUCGAGUGCCAAGAAAAGCCCCAGCGUAUGCUAAGCGACCCGUACCGCAAACCGACACAGGUGGGUGGGUAGAAUAUACCAAGGCGUAAGAGUGAAACCUGGUUAAGGAACUCGGCAAAUUAGCCCCGUAACUUCGGAAGAAGGGGUGCCUGCAGCGAUGCAGGCCGCAGAGAAAUGGCCCAACCGACUGUUUAUCAAAAACACAGCACUCUGCAAAGACGCAAGUCGAAGUAUAGGGUGUGACACGUGACCAAUGCCGAAAGAUUAAGGCAAGGGGUUAGCCGCAAGGCGAAGCUCUGAACCCAAGUCCCGGUGAAUGUCGGCCGUAACUAUAACGGUCCUAAGGUAGCGAAAUUCCUUGUCGGGU
rnacentral:rRNA from 1 species